rnacentral:rRNA from 1 species
UACGAAGGGGGCUAGCGUUGCUCGGAAUCACUGGGCGUAAAGCGCACGUAGGCGGCUUUCUAAGUCAGGGGUGAAAUCCUGGAGCUCAACUCCAGAACUGCCUUUGAUACUGGGGAUCUCGAGUCCGGAAGAGGUGAGUGGAACUCCGAGUGUAGAGGUGAAAUUCGUAGAUAUCGGGAAGAACACCCGUGGCGAAGGCGGCUCUCUGGGACGGUACUGACGCUGAGACGCGAAAGCGUGGGGAGCGAACAGG